UGGAACUGGUGAGAAAAAAAUCAGGACAAAAUAGAUUUUUCAGAGUAGUUACAGUGAGAAACCCGAGUUCAGUUCCAAAGCACAAACGAGGCUAUGGCUACAGCUCAAUAUCAGCAGAAAGCUUCAGAAUCUCUAAUCGCUUCUUCUUUCUUCGUUGAUUUUAGCAAUUUUCAUCUAUAUCUUUAAUAAACUUCAGAAGAUCGUCAGAGAUCUCCAUCCCCAUCAAGUUCUUCACCGAGUAGAUCUUUCUUCUGGGCUUUUCUUCUGAGAUCGGAGUGACUUACGUUAUGCCUGUAAAUGUAAUUGGCGGUUUCAAAACCGUCAUUGGUCGACGGAUCUGAACUGCAGAGACUCGAGCUGGUUUAAGUCAACAGGCUUUGGACCCGACAGGCUUUCGAAUGGGUUUUGGGGCUCUUUUGACAGGACCCAAAUCUACUGCCCGUGCCCGAUGUCCUGCCUCAGUUUUGGGUCGGAAAGUCCAAACAAGCCAGCUCAGAGAUGCGUAGGUGAGUUAAGAAGCUGGCUUUGCUAUGACAAAAGACAUCACUAGUAAAGACAUUGGCAUGGACUGAUAGAGAAAAGACCCUUGAAAAAAGUAUUUGCAUCUGCAAAAGAUAGUGGCGUCUUCUCUGUCUCAGGGCAGAGUACCGUUUCAGCGUUUAUAUGAUUUGGGAAUCAAAACAAGCCGAGGCGUUUACGGGUUCAAUUAGACAAUGAAUCACCACGCGGCCUCUGUUAAAUCAAUUGGUUCAUCUUGAUUUUGUAGUUAUCCAAAAGCACAAAUUGAAGAAAUGAAAAGGCAUGAUCUUUCACAAGAAGAUUGAAAACUGUAGAAUUCAAGUAUGGUGAAAAACCCACUGAAAAAUAAAACGAUCAAUUCAAUAUAUUAUCAAAUCCAACUCGUCCAUGCUGAUACAAAGAGUUACAGAAGAUUAAAAAAGGAUCCUCACAGUUAUAGGUAUUUGUCAUUGUGUUGUUGUUGGAUUUUCAGGCACCACCAGAGGAGCAUAGAGAGGCCACGAACUUGACUAGGAGAUCAAAAAUCCUUCGCUUCACAAGUUUCCUCGGUGGGGGGAUCACACUUGCCGGCUUCGCCUUGAACAACUGCUGAAUCCGAGCCGCCAUUACGGAUCCGUUGGGCAGAACGGUCGCUCCAACCGGGUUCACCUUCUUCGCCAUCGACUGCCGCUUCCUUCUUUAAGUAGAGUGCUUCCAAACUAUGAUAUCUACUUCUCAAAAUGUGUUGUGCUUUUAAGCUUUUUUUUUUAAGAUAAAUAUAUAGCCGUGCGAAAAUAAAAGAAUUUUGAAUUUAUUUUAAUUGUUUUGGGAAAUUCCUCCGGUGAGAGGCCCUUGCGGGCCAAGUUUUUAAAUAUUUUCACACAUUGCCUUUAUCUGUAUGGGUGACGUAUGCUAAUAAAUAUGACGUAAUCAUCAUGUUCCACUCCCU